rnacentral:rRNA from 1 species
GACGUAGGGCGCGAGCGUUGUCCGGAUUUAUUGGGCGUAAAGCGUCCGCAGGUGGCGAUUCAAGUCUGCGGUCAAAGACUGGGGCUUAACCCUGGAAAGGCCGUGGAAACUGAAAAGCUAGAGUGCAGUAGGGGUAGAGGGAAUUCCCGGUGUAGCGGUGAAAUGCGUAGAGCUCGGGAAGAACAUCGGUGGCGAAAGCGCUCUGCUGGACUGCAACUGACACUCAGGGACGAAAGCUAGGGGAGCGAAUGGG